rnacentral:misc_RNA from 1 species
UGGAUGGCGUGGGUUGGCAGGCUCCGUGCUCGUGCAUCGAACUGUCGGCGCCCCAUCCGCUUCAGUCUUGCCCCGAGCGCAGCUCCUGGCUUGCGGGUGCUUGAGGUAUCCUGUGUUACUUACCCCCGGAAAGGAAUUUGACGGAUUUGGUGUCCCUAUCCGCCUUGCGCCCUUCGGGGUGCGGGGUGGACGCGAGUCGGGCUCCGUGUUCCMCGCGUGUCGAGUGCGUUGACGCUCGGCCGCUGUGGCCCAUGGGGUCUCGGCCGUGCUCUCGGAUGCGGAAUGCUGUGUGUGGGAGCGGGGUCUCGGCCUCUGCUCGUCCAAGCUGCACGCGUUGUCCCUAGACGUGAACGACCGCCUUGCCCGUCUUGAUCGACCGACCGAGUCCACGUCGCGGGGCUWCGGGAGGUCGUCUCAWGCGGGUCUCGGCGUCGGARAKKAAUGCUAC